rnacentral:rRNA from 1 species
UACGGAGGGUGCAAGCGUUAUCCGGAUUUACUGGGUUUAAAGGGUGUGUAGGCGGGUCUUUAAGUCAGUGGUGAAAUCUCCGAGCUCAACUUGGAAACUGCCAUUGAUACUAUUGAUCUUGAAUUCUGUUGAGGUUGGCGGAAUAAGUCAUGUAGCGGUGAAAUGCAUAGAUAUGACUUAGAACACCGAUUGCGAAGGCAGCUAACUAAGCAGAUAUUGACGCUGAGGCACGAAAGCGUGGGUAGCAAACAGG